GCCUGGGUGGCUCAGUCGGUUGGGCGUCUGACUUUGCCUCAGGUCAUGGUCUCACCAUCCGUGGGUUCAAGCCCUACGUCAGGCU
rnacentral:tRNA from 1 species